rnacentral:miRNA from 1 species
GUCUUCAAAGUGGCAGUGACAUG